AGUGAAAUAUAAGGCUAUGCUCUAUAUCACAAAUUUUUAAACAGAAAAAGGCUUUCAAAUUGACAAUCACAUAAAGUAUAAAAUUGUAGUAUUGAAAGGCUCACCUAUGAAACCGGAACUGGGUGGAUUCCUGCUUAUCGGCCUGUUUCCGGCGAACAUUUGCAGGCUCUGCCACAGCCGCCACACGGAGUGCGGAUCGAUGAGGAAGGCCCUGGACUUGGGAUACCGCCGCCGGUAUAUCUCGUAGUUGGUGAACAGAUCGUAGUCCGCGCUGGUCAGCCAGUCCUCCAGGGUGCCAUUGUACUUGCCCGGAUCCCAGGCGGCAAUCGUGACGUUCCGGAAGAUGGGGGCAUGGGUGAAGUCGAACUCGGGCUUGGUGACCACCUGCGGAGAGGGCGGAAAGUGGGAAUGGGAGCGGAAAAUGCAACUGCAAUCGAAAGUGCGGAACUGCGUUCGGCCUACUUGCGAAUUCACCACACGAAUUGUGGUCUUGCUGCCCACAUCCACCUCGUGUCCUUGCGUGGGCGCAUGAUUGAAUCGCAUCACAAUGUCGUGCGUGUCUGGGAGCAGGGCGGUGCAUUCGCACAUAAAGCCGGGGAAAUAAACAGAAAAUAAACAGAAUUAGAGUAGACGGGUAAAUCAAA